AGCUGGACGGGGUCGAUCGCGCGGGUGACGACGAGAUAGUCGCGCAGGGCGAUGCCGUGCCGGUUCUC
rnacentral:sRNA from 1 species